AGUGUUAUCAGUCAUUUGCUUAUGAAUAAUAGUGUUAUGCGAAUUCUAACAGUCUCUUAAGUUGUCACCUCACGGUUUAAGAGCUUACCAGGUAGACCUUUUGGACGUACUUUACAUUCACUUUGAACUUACCUGAGGAACUCCGAUAGUUCCAGAACCAGGUGCCUUUUAGAGAAAGAAAAAUACCUAAGAGUCUGCGCUUCCGUCUGCUGAAUACUUACUAACCCAGGGUCCUCCGUUCUGACCGUGUUCGGUUAGAAUUUUGUCUUUGUUUGUUUGUUUGUUUGUUUCCUGUGUCUAGUGCCAAUUAACUAAGUCAGGGAGAGAAAAAUGACCAGACGACCUUCUGGCACCCUCGAGCCGUUCCUCUGCUAUGCAGGCUGUAGAUUAGUGCCUUAUGUGGUUUCCGUUUGGGCCACUGGAUGUCACAGCCGUUGCUGUGGUUUUUAGCAGGCUUGUUUCAUAUUGCCGCAGGGUGGGACCACAGUAGAAGGUGCAUGGGAUGGGGAUUAGGAAGAUUCUGGAAAAAUCUUAACCAGUCGCUGCCUCUCAGCUUGAUGUUGGACGCGAGCAUUUCCAAGGUGGCAGCUGAGCUGAAGCGCCGCCUUUGUUCUCUGUUGCUGUUUCCUUCGCCGGGACAGCGGGACAGGUGUCUGUCUUUGAACCCGCACGGAGCUCUCAUGCAGGGCAGAGGUGGAUUCAGACCCCUCCCCGGGCUUCUGCAGAACCUCAGAGAUUUAAAUCAAUCCCAAUAGAAAGGGUUGGAAGCCUCUUAAAACCUUCCAACAUCGCCUGUCAGGUCACUUACCUGUCACUUCAAAUGAUUUCAUUUUAGUGUUUUUAAAACUAGAAAUAAGCACAAUCUAAGCCAUUGCAUUAUCACUCAAAAGGGAAACAUUUUAUUCCUUAAAAAUAUGUUAUUGUUUUUUUUUAAUUGAUGUAUAUAAUUCGGUUCUUUGAGAUUUCUAAAGGGAUUUUCAGUAAUGAAUGCAUCACCUCCGUCUUCUAAACCUUCACUGUCCAAAUUGUUUUAAGAUAAAAGAAGUAAAUGCUUCUAUUUUACUUUUUCUUCUUCAUUCUAGAAGCACUUUAUCAACAUUGUCUUAUCUACUGAAUAGAAAAUUUGCUUGGAAAUUUGCUUGGAAAUAGUAAAUGUUUUUUCAUGUUUUCCUUGGCUCAGUAAAACCCAAAUGUCUCUUUAAAUACACACACAUGCGCACGCAGCCAGAGGCGUCCCUGUGCCCCUUCUCCAGGAAAAUCGAGGUGGGACCGUUCGUGAGCAUUGUGGGAGGAUGGGGCACAGCGGGCCGGAAAGUGGUCGUCUUGCGUCCAUUUUCUCUCUUGACGCCAUCCUGGCUUCCCUGCCAGCUCUUGUGACCAUGCUGACGCGUAACGCUCCAGCAUCCCCUCGUGUCUGGCCUUAGGCUGCCACCCCCUUGGGCCCACGAGAUGUGUUCUGUGUCAAGCCUCAAACCCUCUUGACUUCCGGGCCCUGGACCUGUCCCGGUUGGUGAGUCCGGGGUGCGGGUCACCACACUCCGGUCCUGGCCGUUGAGCUUCCGGCUGCCCACCCCGUCUAGGCGCUGUGGUGCCUGGGUGCCCAGCGCCUGUCAUCAAAAGGAGGCUCUUGGAGCCAAGUUCAGAACUCGGAACGCCAACAACCAGCUGUCCCUUCUGUUCUAUGUCGGGGGGUUCUGACGGGGGCCCCAGAGGCAGUCGCUUGCGGGGAGCUUUGGCAGGCUUGCCUGGCCCCCACUGCCGUCUUCCUUUAGGACAGCCGUGUGCCCGUGCCAGCCUUGCGUCCCCUGUGUAGCUGGUGUCAGUCUGCCUUGGUCACCCCGAUGAAAAGUGUACGGCAGAGCCAUCGUAGGAAGCGCCUUCUUGUUGGGCGUGCUGGAGUCUGGGUCCCCACCAGGUUUCAAACCGUGACAGGGCGGGCUUCGCUGCGGCAGGUUCGGGACUGGGGAAGUCCACAUCCUGGAAGACGAGGUGACAGGAAGCGUUUGCUAGCCUUCCGCCGCACCGGCCUUCCCGCCAGCUUCUGUUCUCACAUCCUUCCCGCGGUGUGUCCCAGCUCUUCUGCCAGAGCUGGGACCUCGCUGUUCUGAGGCUGUCCUGGGCCACGGGGUGGGCACAUGUCGCUCCAUCGUUUUCCGUGUGUUUAUGCCCAGGCGGCAUCUGCAGGUGACCGGCAGUGGGGAGUCCUUGGUUCCUGGCUGGACACGCGCAACUUGCGCCGUCCGAGGCCGGUCCUGAGCACCCCCCCACCCCCCGACACCAGCUACCCCCGCGGUCCUUCGCUUCAGGGCUGUAGACUCGGCGUCAGGCGUUCUCGCCCUCUUUCUGGACGGCUGCAAAUGUCUUUCUCUAGAGGCUUCCGGUCGCGCUGGCGGACAGGCAGGGCCGGCCCGCUGCCCUCAGCCGUGUGGCUGAGCAGGGACUUCAGAAAACAAACCUCGACCUUUCUUUUCUCUUCCGCCCCAGACAUCCAGCUCCACCCUCGUGCCUCUUCCCUGCAGGGCAGGACCUUUUUGUGAAAAUGAGGGCCAGGCCGGGCAGUGUGUCGCCAGGAUUUGCAGGGCUCAGGGUUAUGUCCCCACUUGCAUUUAGAUGUGACUCUGGUGACAGUGUUCUCUACCUGUGGACCUUCCUGACUCAUUACCCCUCUCUCUUCCUGAGAGGCAGAGAAAUCAGAUUUUUUAAAGGUAUUUUGUUGUAGCUUUACAGAGCAAAAUAUAAACUGCAUUUUUAUUUAUUGUGCACAAGGAAGAUAAAUCUGUUUUUACAAAAAAAUCUAGAGUCGGACACUCUGGAAAAACCUAUUGAAAUAUUCAGAAGCUUCUCUCUCUGUAACGUGCAAUAUGCUUUGCAACUAUAGAUGAUAUUUUAUGUUUAAUCUAGAAAUAAGAAAUGUAUUUAAAUUAAAAGGGAGCUUUUUGUAAAAGGACCAAAUGUUCUUUUAUAAAUGUACUAAGAAAUAUCUCGCACUUUGAAAUUUAUUAGGAUUUUUAUGAGUAAUUUUUAUUAAAAUAUUUUUUUUGAGUUGUCA